UACGUAGGGUGCAAGCGUUGUCCGGAAUUAUUGGGCGUAAAGAGCUCGUAGGCGGUUUGUUGCGUCGGCUGUGAAAUCCCGAUGCUCAACCUCGGGUCUGCAGUCGAUACGAGCAAACUAGAGUGUUGCAGGGGAGACUGGAAUUCCUGGUGUAGCGGUGAAAUGCGCAGAUAUCAGGAGGAACACCGGUGGCGAAGGCGGGUCUCUGGGCAACAACUGACGCUGAGGAGCGAAAGCGUGGGGAGCGAACAGG
rnacentral:rRNA from 1 species